rnacentral:rRNA from 1 species
GUGAAGCUUACGGCUACCUUGUUACGACUUAACCCCCCUUGCAAAGCUCAAAUUCGAACGCCUCCAAAGAAAGCGCUCUCAUUCAGACCCUACUCGGGUGGUUUGACGGGCGRUGUGUGCAAGGAGCAGGGACGUAUUCACCGCGUUCUGUUGAAACGCGAUUACUACGGAUUCCAGCUUCAUGAGGGCGAGUUGCAGCCCUCAAUCCGAACUAAGAUUGGUUUUAGGAGAUUCCCGUCCCCUUUCGGGGUAGAUACCCAUUGUACCAACCAUUGUAGCUCGCGUGUAGCCCGGGAUAUUCGGGGCAUACUGACCUACCGUUGCCCAUUCCUUCCUCCGCUUUAGCAGCGGCGGUCCCCACAGUGUACCCGUCACUCCAGAGAGUACGCUGGCAACUGUGGGCGUGGGUCUCGCUCGUUGCCUGACUUAACAGGAUGCUUCACAGUACGAACUGACGACGGCCAUGCACCACCUCUCAGCUAAUCCGGCAAAGUCUUCAGCCUGGCCUUCAUAUUGCUGUCGGUCCCGGUAAAAUUUCCGGCGUUGAAUCCAAUUAARCCGCAAGCUCCACCCGUUGUGGUGCUCCCCCGCCAAUUCCUUURAAGUUUCAGCCUUGCGGCCGUACUUCCCAGGUGGCUCGCUUCACGGCUUCCCUACGSACCGACAACGGUCGCACCGUGGGCCGACACCUAGCGAGUAUCGUUUACGGCUAGGRCUACCCGGGUAUCUAAUSCGGUUCGUGCCCUAGCUUUCGUCCCUUGGCGUCAGGCCGUUCUKGUGAGAGCCUUCGCCAYUGGUGGUCCUUCAAGGGUUAC